GGGGUUGUAGCUCAGGGGUAGAGCGCUUGUUUAGGACACAUGAGGCACUGGGUUUGAUCCUCAGCCCCA
rnacentral:tRNA from 1 species